UAUUUUUCAGCCAUAUGAGAUAGUCUGGGAAGGAUGCAGACAGAAAGUUUAGUUUAAGCACUACUCAAUGAAAUCACAUUUAAUUAUGAAGACAUUUUACUGUAAUAUCAGGGAUUCUAAGCAAAAAGGCAGAGAUUGCAGCUAUUGCUCCAUGUACAUCAUGAAAGUAGAUUUUUAUAGGAUCUUUAAAUGCCAGGUGACAGUUAUUCUGCUGAUGCAUUAUGCUACUUAGCGUACAUUUCCCUGGACAUGAAAGAAAAGCCCGAAAUGCACAGCUGGGAAUGGGAACAGUAAGGCCUAAUACCUACUUUACCAGAGCAGCAAAGUGCAUGCCACUAAGACAUAGGCCGAGAUCCUUGACAGUGCCUUAGUAUUGAAAGGCAAGAGACAUGAGGAGCUGCUAGCUGCAAUAUGGAUGGGGGGGCAUUGUGAAUGUCAGGACAUUAAAGGUGCUUCAGUAGGAGAAUAAACUAGGACUCAUAUCAGAUAAUGUAGAUAUUUGCUACAGUUACCAGUGCCUUGCAGUUUGAACAGCCAUUGAAAAAAAAUAUCUGCAUAACAGCUGUAGCAAUUGCUGUUUUUCUGAAGUGAAGAAAAGAAUUCAGGCAGUGAUGAUCUUGGGCCUGAUCCUCCAAUGCCUUGCACCUUGUGUAGUGUAAAGUGAGUGCACCAAAUCAGACCCACUGUACAGGCAUAAAUGACUACACAAGGUGCAGGACAGUGGAGAAUCAGGGCUCCUGGGUUUCUUGUGGUGGGGGGAGGUAUCUGAAGUCCUAUGUAGCAGGAGUUUGCCUUUAAAAAUAGACUAGCAAAACCAGAAUGGUUAAAAGGCCCAGCAAGCCAGUGAGAAUUACAAAUAGGGAUUUAAAGCUAAAGAAAGAGACAAUCUUAAUUAGAUCUCCACCAAACUGUAGAAAAACACAUUUGGAUUAAAAUGAAAUAGAGCUUUUUACUCCUAGCGUUUCAGAGGAGGAAUGGGGAGAACUAUUUACAUAUGCUAUUUGAGUAGAUGGAUUGCUUUUCCUAAGAACUUGUCCUCAUAACUUUCAGUCUUUUCAGAAAACUACUAAAAGCUGCCCGUAUGGUAUAUUUGGGUGAUUCUGAUCACAAUACACAGAGAGAGAGUUCCCAUGGCUAUAGACUGAGUGAGGUGUGUUCCAGUUUAAUUUCACCCUUCCAAAGUUAACGCCUGUUUGCGUUUGUACACCGGCUCAUCCAUCAUUCAGGGGAGCUCAGUGAAACUUACCUUAUAUUUCACCACCACAAUUACAUUCCAUUUCAUAAGCAUCCAUCAAUAUUUAAUACAGUGGUGUCAGCUUGACUGUAACACAAGAGGACCUAAUAGGAACCCUGAAUUAUACAUUGCACAGUUGGGAGAAAAUAAAGAGGCUUUUCUUGUAAACCCAAAGAUCUCCUUGCUGAGUUGAUUUCUGGGAGACACUGCAUGAAAUCCAUAUCAAUGGAUGAGGUUCAGAAGAAACUAAGCCAGAGGUAUGAGGCAAGACCCCGCAAAGUGAGGUUCAAAAUCUCUUCGGCAUACAGCGGCCGGGUGUUAAAGCAGGUCUAUGAAGAUGGCCAGGAACUGAAGCCUCCAGAGGAAGAAUCCACUCACCGUUUUCUCCACCACAGCUUUGAGUCAGGGGACCAUUUCAACAGGGCUGGAGAGGCACCAGAAUCCAGGUUUUAUUCAUCAGUCAAACUGACUGCCCAAAGGAUCAGUGUAUUCAAAGACGGUACCAAGUACAAUCUAGCAAGUAACCCUCCACUCUUCAGUGAUUACCAAGCAAGUGAUAGUCAUCGCAGGCCCUCCCCCGUUUUAGAUUUUGGCAAGAUUGUCAUCUACACUAGUAACCUGAAAAUCAUCCGCACACCAAUGGACAAGAAGGAGCUGAUGAGAAAAAUCAUCCAGAACGAGGGAACUGAUGACUGGUCCUUCAUGUACCGAGAUGGGAAGGAAAGGGAUGGUCAUCAAAUCAAUGGGUGUGUGAAAGAUGCAGAAAACCAACUUGCUGACAACCAGUAUGUGCAGGGAGGAGACACUGAGCACUAUUGCUCCCAGUGUAACGGAUCAGGCUCAGCCCCCUGCUCUCUGUGCCAUGGAAGCAAGUUUUCAAUGUUGGCUAACAGAUUUAAAGAGUCCUACAGGGAUCUCCGAUGUCCUGCUUGCAAUGAAAAUGGCCUGCAACCUUGCCAGGUCUGUGCCCAAUAAUCGUAUCUACCAUCCCUUCAAUUACAUAUGCGUAUCCAGGUCAAUGUUUCACUGAAACCUUAGUACACAUUAUCUAUUCUACAUAUAAGAAAGCAACCAGUGUAUAAUAACAGGUUAUUAAAAAGUGGCAAGAGUGCAUUGUGUACACCCCUAAAUCUACAUGUAAACCUACUCCUAUUACUGUUACUCCACCGCCCUCCCCAUCAGUUUGUCUGUACAUGCCCCUGUUGCGUCUUCUAAUUAAAUUAGGCCCCAAUCCUGCAAACACUUACACAUUGUGCUUAAUUUGACAUGUGAGCAAUCCAGUGAAGUCAAAGGGAGUACACAUAUUUAUAAAUUAAGCACAUGCUUAACUCUGUAGGGUAGAGAAUGCGUGCUUACAUAGUGCCUGGUACAGUGGGGCUGCAAUGUCUGGGCCCUGUAGGUACUCCUGUAAUAAAAUAAUAACACUAAUAAGCAGCAGAAGUAGCUGUACUUUAAGCAUAUGAGUAACUUGUCAAAUUACAAAAUGUUUGUAUAAAAACAAUGCUGCAUGUUUGCAAAACCUCCUCUUAGAUUUAACUUGGUGGACAUUUUAAAUUGAUACUUUAUUGUGCAUUUCACUCUACCCUACAGUGGAUUUCCUGCAGAUUUCAAAUAUAGUCCUUAUGGUACACAGCAGUUCUCCCAGUGUAUGAUUUAAGUAGCUGACUAGAGCCUGUCUCCAGGUCUGAAACCUUACUGAGAAAUUAUCAUGGGGAAAUUAAAAAUAGAAAAACUGGAGCAUUUUAUAGUCUGAUCCUGAGAAAUGCUGACCCACAGCUCCCAUUGAUGUUAAUGGGAAUUGAGGGUAUUCAGCUCUGCUCCGGAUCAGGCUGUUGGUGAACAGGGCUUCUGUUGCUUCGUAUUAAUCCCAUGUUGUAAUUUGCAAAAUAUAAACUCUAAUUAUUUUAGCUGAAGCAGCGAUGUUAAAUUGUUAGCAGGCUACCAGUGGCAGCACAGGACACAAGGGCUUCAUAAAAAGUGAAGACAAACAGGGGAAAUGCUUUUUGUUUUCUAAAAGCUUAUUACACUUGAUAUUCUUGGGUAAUGUUAAUGAAGGUUUAACUUGCAUAUUAUCUCUGAGACUCUGAAUUAAGAGGCUUUUUACGUGCUCUACAUGCUGAGGUUGCAAGUCUAGACAGAGUCAUUUAUGGUUGAGUUUGUACUUUGGCAUGUGUAUGUUAUAAGAUUUCUCUGAGACAGCUGGAUUAUUAGAAAUAAUGCCAUCCUAGUUUUCAGAUCUUCUGAUGUUUGUAACUGAUAUCAAAAUUAUGCUUUUAAAAAGUGCAUAAUAAUAGCGCAGAUAAUUUAAAAAGGGAGGG